rnacentral:rRNA from 1 species
AGAGUUUGAUCAUGGCUCAGGACGAACGCUGGCGGCGCGCUUAAUACAUGCAAGUCGAGCGAGAACCAUGGCUUCGGCCAUGGGGACAGCGGCGAACGGGUGAGUAACACGUGGGUAAUCAACCCCCGACACCGGGAUAGCCCGGGGAAACCCGGAUUAAUACCGGAUGUUCCGUCUGGCUCUCGAGCCGGCCGGAAAAGGGUAGCUUCGGCCUCCGGUCGGGGACGAGCCCGCGGCGGAUUAGCUUGUUGGUGGGGUAAAGGCCCACCAAGGCGACGAUCCGUAGCUGGUCUGAGAGGACGAUCAGCCACACUGGGACUGAGACACGGUCCAGACACCUACGGGUGGCAGCAGUCGAGAAUUUUUCACAAUGGGCGCAAGCCUGAUGGAGCGACGCCGCGUGGGGGAUGAAUGGCUUCGGCCCGUAAACCCCUGUCAUUUGCGAUCAAACGUUAUUAUUUAAAAGAUGAUGACCUGAUAGUAGCGAAAGAGGAAGGGACGGCUAACUCUGUGCCAGCAGCCGCGGUAAUAC